ACUCUCCUCCUCGCUCGACCCGCUCGACAACUCCGCCAUCUCUGGCACAAACGCCAGACGCCCCUUCAGCUUGCGCACCGCCUCCUUCGCCGCCAGAUCCGCCGCUUCAUUCCUGACAACGCCGACGUGGCCUGGCGACCAUGAGAGGUGGAUCGUGGUGCUCACUUGGACGAGGAGCGAGCCGGCGGGAAGUGACUUGACGAGCUGGGUGUGCUCGUUCGUACCACGCCGCACCCGCCCAGACCAGUCGCGGCACGACGCAUGCGACCACGAGUUGACGGACGAACUUCGGUUUCAAGCCGGCCUUCGAUCGCGCGAGUAACAAUAUGGCUGUGGCGGAUCUAGAGGCGCGGGAGGCGCAGAGGGAGGUGUGGUCGUGGAAGGAUAACCAACGUUCACAUCGUUGAUCCAACCAAAACCGCACGUCGACGUCAUCUCGCAGGCCUCGAGUAGUGGCGCGUUGUACGAAAGGAAGAGGAUCGGCGAGAGGGGGUGCAAGACCGCUUGCUCAAGAAGGAGCGGAUCCAGUCGCAGGCGGGUUUGGGCAAGCCACGGGUCGCCAGACGACCGCGUCUUCGGCUGAUCUCCUCCGGCGCCCGCCUAAAUGCAACGGCAGCAGCAACCCGAACGAUUCGGCUAGAUGCGAUAGGCGAGCUGCGACGAUUCGCUCGAGCCCCUUUGCGAUACACCUCUCGAACGCGAUCAGCCAAUACGCCUUUGGAUCACGGUAGUCCGGCUUCUUUGGCUUGCGCAGCACGACGCACGAGGCGUCACGCCAGGCUCGGGGGACAUAGCCGAGGCAAAGGGAGGCGCGGUAGAGCGAGACGAGGUGCGGGAGGAGGAGAGGGAGGAGCAGUUGGAGGACGUGGUUGGGUCCGGCCAGGGCAAGGACGGCGUCGGCGGAACGUGCGGUGCGGCCUCCUCGAGUUCUGCGGGAGUGAUGGUGGCCUCGCUUGCGCGGGAUUCAAAUCUGUAACGACUCGAUUGCGUAGCCCUUGGAGGGUUGCAAUACGACAGGUGAGAACGUACUUGCUGACGUUCCUCACCCUCAGGAACCAUCCCUCUCCCUCCUUCCUCACCUCUUCCCUUCGCCUCGUCGUUCGCCGUCGCCGUCGACAUCGCCAUCUUCGCCUUCGCCUUCGCCCUCGCCUUCGCCUUCGCCUUCGCCUUCGUCGCGUUUGCUGCCGUCGUCGCCGUUGUCGCCGCUGCCGCCGUCUUCUUCGUCCUCAUGGAUGUUUCUGUAGAGGUUGCGGUACCGUCCAGCGCGAAGGUGACAUGUCGGAAUUGCAGGCGGGUGGGGGUGGAGUUGGCGGGAGAGCGGCUGGUUGAGGGGGAGUUGUGGGCGCGUUGGGAGGGUUGGGAGGGACGGUGGGGAGGAGAAGCGGGCGUAGCAGGGCGAGUUUGUCGGAGGGAGAGGUCGCAGCGUCGCCUCCGUCACGCUCGCCAUCUCGAGUUCCUCCCACUCUUCCCUCUUCCGCCGCAUCAUCGUCUUGAUUUCGUUCCUCCGCCUCUUCUUCUCUCGCCAGGCUUCUUCCCAUUCCUCCUUGCGCCCUUCGAUGCUCCGCAAUCGGAACGCGCGGUUGGCAGCGCGCCUUGCCGCCCUACUUGCAUUUGCGAGCUCCUUGUCCCACCAGGGUGUGACUCUGCCGGCUCGGGCGCGACCGAAGGGCGUUGCAGCGGAUAUGGCAAUCUGGAGGACUGAGGGAUCCGAGCACAAGGUCGAGCGGGCGCGGCGGGUGCGAGCGGGUGUGUGGGUAGUAGGUGGGUGUGUUGGGCGGGAGGAGGUGGACCAGGUUGAAUUGGGAGAAGGUUGAAGUCGCCGGCGAUGAUGACGAGGAACGACCGCGGCGUUGAGGCGAGCAGCUGCGGGAGGACGGAUGAGACGGAGUGGUUGUAAGCAGCUCGACAUCGACUGCCGUGACGUCGCCUGACUCGACCGCAACUUGUGUCGCGACGGCCGGACCGAGGCAGAUCGAGAUGAGGAUGAUGUUGCGGAUGGGCGCGGGUUCGUCGUCGGGGAGCGAAGUUGGUGGAGGGAUGAUGAGGCGCCACGACGACGGUAUGACGGGGAGGUCUCGGGGUGGUUCUUGAAUGAGGAGGAGGUCGGUGGUUGCGGAGCUGGGGUUGGCAAGGAGGCGGAGGAGGUUGUCUUCGGAGCGGUUCAGGUUGUACGUGGUGAUGAUUCUCCUUCGUCUUGGGCUGAACGAUCCGUCGCGCCCUCGUCACUCUCUUCUCCGACUCCCCCUUCGCACCCAUCGCUCCCCUUGCCGUCACUGGCGGUGGCUUUGGCACCCGCGUCUUCACCUUUCCGACUGUUCUCCACUCUUUCCCUUCCGACUUUUCUUCUUCGCUUUCCCUCCUUUUCCCGCUUGUCACGACUGCCGCCUUCGACGUUGGGAACGCCUUCUCAGUCUCGUCCGCCCAGGACUGGUUGGCUUCGCUCGGCGUCGACUCGAACUCGAUGAUCGGCAUGGCACGGUACUGGGUUGGGCGGUCGGCGAGCGGCGACGGGAUGUGAGACCAGAUUCCGCUGGUGGGUUCGGACUCGAGGUAGGGUGGGGCUGAGGCGUCUUGGCGGCGGGCCGCGAGCGUCGGCGAAAGAGGGGAGUCGUCGGCCAGGUUCAUGUUGGAGGUUGAGGGGGCAGAUGCUCCUGUGGAUGGCGUCGCGUCGAUGUGGUGGUUGGUGGUGGUCUGUGCGCGGCGCGACGGCGAGACAGAAUCAACAGUCUCGUCGAGAACGGCGCCGAAGUCGUCGUCGCCGUGCCUUUUGAUGGAGAACUCGGACAGUCCGGGCGGGAGGAUGGGCUCGAACGGGUUCGAGGGCGUAGAGGACGUUGUAGUGGUUGUAAUGGGCAAGUUGC
rnacentral:misc_RNA from 1 species